GCCAUGCCGCGUGUGUGAAGAAGGUCUUCGGAUUGUAAAGCACUUUAAGUUGGGAGGAAGGGCAGUAAGUUAAUACCUUGCUGUUUUGACGUUACCGACAGAAUAAGCACCGGCUAACUCUGUGCCAGCAGCCGCGGUAAUACAGAGGGUGCAAGCGUUAAUCGGAAUUACUGGGCGUAAAGCGCGCGUAGGUGGUUCGUUAAGUUGGAUGUGAAAGCCCCGGGCUCAACCUGGGAACUGCAUCCAAAACUGGCGAGCUAGAGUAUGGUAGAGGGUGGUGGAAUUUCCUGUGUAGCGGUGAAAUGCGUAGAUAUAGGAAGGAACACCAGUGGCGAAGGCGACCACCUGGACUGAUACUGACACUGAGGUGCGAAAGCGUGGGGAGCAAACAGGAUUAGAAACCCUUGUAGUCCAGACCAAGUCUCUGGCUACCGUAA
rnacentral:rRNA from 1 species